UACGUAGGGUGCGAGCGUUGUCCGGAAUUAUUGGGCGUAAAGAGCUCGUAGGCGGUCUGUCGCGUCGAUCGUGAAAACUUGGGGCUUAACCCUGAGCUUGCGGUCGAUACGGGCAUGACUGGAGUUCGGCAGGGGAGACUGGAAUUCCUGGUGUAGCGGUGAAAUGCGCAGAUAUCAGGAGGAACACCUGCGGCGAAGGCGGGUUGCUGGGCCGACACUGACGCUGAAGCGCGGAAGCCAGGGGAGCGAACGGG
rnacentral:rRNA from 1 species